ACUUUUAAUAUUUAGUACUAUUUCUUUACUUUAGAAUUAUUGUAAUAUUUAGGUACUUGUAUUUUCCAGUACUUGAUUUGUACUUAAAAUAUUGGUACAAAAAUAAUACCAACAAUGAUCACAGUAUUCCAUGUUUGAACAUCAUAACGUUUUGAGAUUUGAAAAAGACAAACUUUCAAAAUGCUGAAAAUGUAACCGUGCAACCAAAAAU
rnacentral:lncRNA from 1 species